UACGUAGGUGGCUAGCGUUGUCCGGAUUUACUGGGCGUAAAGAGCGCGCAGGCGGUCGUUCAAGUCGAGUGUGAAAGCCCCCGGCUCAACUGGGGAGGGUCACUCGAUACUGAUCGACUUGAAGGCGGGAGAGGGAAGCGGAAUUCCCGGUGUAGCAGUGAAAUGCGUAGAUAUCGUGAGGAAGACCAGUGGCGAAGGCGGAUCUCUGGACAGUUCCUGACGCUGAGGCGCGAAGGCCAGGGGAGCAAACGGG
rnacentral:rRNA from 1 species